rnacentral:rRNA from 1 species
GGACCCGCACAAGCGGUGGAUGAUGUGGUUUAAUUCGAUGCAACGCGAAAAACCUUACCUACCCUUGACAUGCCAGGAACUUGCCAGAGAUGGCUUGGUGCUCGAAAGAGAACCUGGACACAGGUGCUGCAUGGCCGUCGUCAGCUCGUGUCGUGAGAUGUUGGGUUAAGUCCCGCAACGAGCGCAACCCUUGUCAUUAGUUGCUACGAAAGGGCACUCUAAUGAGACUGCCGGUGACAAACCGGAGGAAGGUGGGGAUGACGUCAGGUCCUCAUGGCCCUUAUGGGUAGGGCUACACACGUCAUACAAUGGCCGGUACAGAGGGUUGCCAACCCGCGAGGGGGAGCUAAUCCCAGAAAACCGGUCGUAGUCCGGAUCGCAGUCUGCAACUCGACUGCGUGAAGUCGGAAUCGCUAGUAAUCGCGGAUCAGCUUGCCGCGGUGAAUACGUUCCCGGGUCUU